rnacentral:rRNA from 1 species
AGUGAACGCUGGCGGUAGGCCUAACACAUGCAAGUCGAACGGCAGCACAGUAAGAGCUUGCUCUUACGGGUGGCGAGUGGCGGACGGGUGAGGAAUACAUCGGAAUCUACUUUUUCGUGGGGGAUAACGUAGGGAAACUUACGCUAAUACCGCAUACGACCUACGGGUGAAAGCAGGGGAUCUUCGGACCUUGCGCGAUUGAAUGAGCCGAUGUCGGAUUAGCUAGUUGGCGGGGUAAAGGCCCACCAAGGCGACGAUCCGUAGCUGGUCUGAGAGGAUGGUCAGCCACACUGGAACUGAGACACGGUACAGACUCCUACGGGAGGCAGCAGUGGGGAAUAUUGGACAAUGGGCGCAAGCCUGAUCCAGCCAUACCGCGUGGGUGAAGAAGGCCUUCGGGUUGUAAAGCCCUUUUGUUGGGAAAGAAAAGCAGCAGGUUAAUACCCCGCUGUUCUGACGGUACCCAAAGAAUAAGCACCGGCUAACUUCG